UACGUAGGGUGCAAGCGUUAAUCGGAAUUACUGGGCGUAAAACGUGCGCAGGCGGUUCUAUAAGUCAGAUGUGAAAGCCCCGGGCUCAACCUGGGAAUUGCAUUCGAGACUGCAUGGCUAGGGUGCGGAAGAGGGAAGCGGAAUUUCCGGUGUAGCGGUGAAAUGCGUAGAUAUCGGAAGGAACACCAGUGGCGAAAGCGGCUUCCUGGUCCAGCACCGACGUUCAGGCACGAAAGCGUGGGGAGCAAACAGG
rnacentral:rRNA from 1 species